rnacentral:lncRNA from 10 species
AGGCCAAGGCUUCUUGAAAGGCUGGUCAUGCCCCAGUGAUCAAUGAAGAACUCAGGGAUAUCCCAAAACUCAGGACUAUAAGGCACAAUGGGGGAGCAGGUACCAGGUGGCCAGCAUCCUAAAUGACUCUCAGCAGCUGCAGAGAAUGUAAAUAACAAGAGCUGCCUAUAAAUCUACCUCAGAAGACAAAGGGAAAAGCAAAACUCUGCCCAGGAAGACCUUACUUUACAAACCAGGUGACCAAAUUUCUAAAACAUCAUUCCCGUAAUCCCUGAUCAACAGAAAGGAAGCUCUGGAAGCAUGAAUGCUCAACCAUAUUUACCAGCCUUCCUGUGGUCAUUUGUCUGAGCUCCAGCUAGUGAAGUAUGAGUAGAACGGACAUGCACCACUUCCAGACCUGGCACCGGCAAACCCCCCAUGGCAACCCUCCAACCCUUUCCUCAACAACUGGACCACGCUGGAAAGGACUGAGGAUCUAGAGGAGGACAGGGCUGUAAUAUGGAAGGAGUUUGGUUUCUGAAGGACCAUGUAGCAGGCCACCUGCAGGGCGGGAACAUCUUUAAUAGGUUUGGAAUAGCAAGAAAUAAACUGGUCUUGUAUU